UAAGUAAGUUUUGCUGUAAAAUUAAUUUAGAUUUAACAUUUGUUUUAUUUAAGUUUCUUGCAGUCCAUAGUUCUUUGGAGACACGGGAGUGGUAUAAUUAGUGGGUCAGAGAUGUAUUGUUGUAUCUUAUUACGUGACCUCUGUUGAUCUGGCAAAACAGAUAAUACGGCAAGGCCUUGGAACCAAGGAUGCUAGAAAAUCAAUGAUGGACCUUAAUUGUUAUAUGUUAUC